CCGAGCCCCAGGUGCUGCCAUCGGCGGACGGCGGCUCCGCGGCUCCCGGCUGUUUCCAUCCGAGGACUCUCCGUCUCACCCCGCGGUGUUCGCUCUGCCUGCACUGAGCCUCCAGGAGAAGUGUCGUGUCUGUGGGACGGUGCCACCCCCGGCUGCCACCCGGGCCCACGCUGGGGUCACGCAGGUCGCCACUGGGGCCAAGCGCAUCGCAGCGCAGCUUCUCCCCUUCAGGCUCAGGCCCCGUGCCCGCAGCGAUGGCCCCGUUGGCUGCAGCCCUGCUCUGGGUGCUGCUGCUGCUGCGGCCGCACGGCGCCGGGACAUGGAGACAGCACACCCCACGUCUUCGUGUCACAUACAGAGGUGAGGGGCUGGGGGUGGGAGCGCGGGGUGUUUGGCACAGGGAUGUGGGAUCCCCGCCUGUGGCAACGUCCCCACCAACUUCUGUCCCAUCUCCUGCAUGCACCCCCCUACCCGAGGCGUUCCCCCUCCUGGGGAUGUGGUUCCAUGGGGUGGGGGAUCCAUGAGGCCGCACGCCGUCCCCGCAGCCAUGGGCAGAGGCAGCAGAGGAAGCUCCCAGCAUCGGGAGGGCUGGGGGACAAUGGAACAAUGGCACGGGAUGUGACUCACGGACAGCGAGGGGCGGCAGGUUCAAGGACACAGGCGGCUCCAGAAGUUUAGGUUUGAAAAACCCCAGGAAAAAAAAAUAAAUAUAAAAUAAAAGGGCCUUUGAGAGCCUCACGUCGGGGCUCAGCGUGGGAGAGAGAGGGAGCUUCGAGUGGGGGGGUGGGGGUAGACGUGAGCUGCUCGCAGAAGGAAAUGACAGCGGUGAUGCCGUGGGAGCGCAGGAAGGAUGGGCACAGUGAGAGGUGGGUGUGGGUCACACCGGGACAGUCUCUGUGUCUCUGCAGCAGUGCUGCACGGUGUGGGGCUGCAGAGUGGGGCUUCUCCCUUACCAGCGAGGGGAUGGAGGUGCAGAGCCCCCCAGGCUGCGGGAUGUGCUGUGGGGCAGGCGGUGACCCCAGGAAGUCGGGUCAGCCCGCACCGAGGAUGCAGGGGCUCAGGAGACGGAUGGGAUGGGGGGAGGAAAAACACCCUGUCCUUGGGAGAUAAUGGCACAAAGGAGAGGAUGUGUCUCACCCAUCGCCACAGCCUCUGCGCAGUGAAAGCGGGGACAGGAAUCCAGCUGCUCACCCCAUUCACUCAAUGGGAAGCGCAUGGCAGCCCCUGCCCAGCCCUGUGCGGCGGUGCUCCUUCCCCUGCCCUACGUCAGGUCCACUCCGCUCGCUUCCUCCCAGCUGCUGCGGAUGCUCUGGUGCCCACGUCCCAUGCACUUAAUGUGGAAGUGUGCCCAGCCGGGUCCCCAGCGCUUUGCAUCCACCCACCUGCUUGGGUUGACGUUGAGGGGCAUCCCCUCAUGGCCGCCCUUCCUCCCACCCCG
rnacentral:lncRNA from 1 species